GAUGAACGCUGGCGGCGUGCCUAAUACAUGCAAGUCGAGCGAACAGACGAGGAGCUUGCUCCUCUGACGUUAGCGGCGGACGGGUGAGUAACACGUGGAUAACCUACCUAUAAGACUGGGAUAACUUCGGGAAACCGGAGCUAAUACCGGAUAAUAUAUUGAACCGCAUGGUUCAAUAGUGAAAGACGGUUUUGCUGUCACUUAUAGAUGGUUCCGGGCCGCAUUAGCUAGUUGGUAAGGUAACGGCUUACCAAGGCAACGAUGCGUAGCCGACCUGAGAGGGUGAUCGGCCACACUGGAACUGAGACACGGUCCAGACUCCUACGGGAGGCAGCAGUAGGGAAUCUUCCGCAAUGGGCGAAAGCCUGACGGAGCAACGCCGCGUGAGUGAUGAAGGUCUUCGGAUCGUAAAACUCUUUUAUUAGGGAAGAACAAAUGUGUAAGUAACUAUGCACGUCUUGACGGUACCUAAUCAGAAAGCCACGGCUAACUACGUG
rnacentral:rRNA from 1 species